GAUGAACGCUGACAGAAUGCUUAACACAUGCAAGUCAACUUGAACUUCGGUUUGGGUGGCGGACGGGUGAGUAACGCGUAAAGAACUUGCCUCACAGCUAGGGACAACAUUUGGAAACGAAUGCUAAUACCUGAUAUUAUGAUUAUAUGGCAUCGUAUAAUUAUGAAAGCUAUAUGCGCUGUGAGAGAGCUUUGCGUCCCAUUAGCUAGUUGGAGAGGUAACAGCUCACCAAGGCGAUGAUGGGUAGCCGGCCUGAGAGGGUGAUCGGCCACAAGGGGACUGAGACACGGCCCUUACUCUUACGGGAGGCAGAAGUGGGGAAUAUUGGACAAUGGACCGAGAGUCUGGUCCAGCAAUUCUGUGUGCACGAUGAAGUUUUUCGGAAUGUAAAGUGCCUUCAGUUGGGAAGAAAAAAAUGACGGUACCAACAGAAGAAGUGACGGCUAAAUACGUG
rnacentral:rRNA from 1 species